UCCAGAUUUGCUCAAACUUGCCCUCAGCGUGUUUCGCAACAGGCAUUCCUUGCUCUGGGUGGGAACAUUCAGUGCUUCUUUCCUGAAGUGGCUUUCUUCUCAGAAAUGUAGGAGCGCUGGACAACGAUAUAACAGUUGACCAUCUGGAGUGUCCUCUGUACAAGAUAUACUUCAGUGAAUAAUGGAAUGCAUUUUACAAGGGUCAUGCCCUCAUUACUUCAAGGCCAUGGGAAAGCAGUAGUCUCAUUCCAGAUAAAUGAUUGUUAUACUUUAAUGCAUGUUCUCAUCUAUUCUGACUGCCAAGUUUGCUGAUUCAGUUAUUUGUAUUACAAAUGAUACAGCUAGUCAGCAUCAAUUACUGGAGUUCAAUAGCUGGCUGAAAAAUAGCAACUGCUCCAAAGGCCAGAUUAAGCAUGAACAGCAUAUGUCAGCAAAUCAUCUGCCUGAGUUUUCUAUUACUUCCUAUGGCUCAUGCAGGUAUGU